rnacentral:rRNA from 1 species
AUACGGAGGGUGCAAGCGUUGUUCGGAAUUACUGGGCGUAAAGCGCGCGUAGGCGGUCUGUUAUGUCAGAUGUGAAAGUCCUCGGCUCAACCGGGGAAGUGCAUUUGAAACUGGCAGACUUGAGUACUGGAGGGGGUGGUGGAAUUCCCGGUGUAGAGGUGAAAUUCGUAGAUAUCUGGAGGAAUACCGGUGGCGAAGGCGACCACCUGGCCAGAUACUGACGCUGAGGUGCGAAAGCGUGGGGAGCAAACAGGAUUAGAAACCCCAGUAGUCC